AAAGGGAUACUGCGCGGCCGGACACCGGCGCCAUGGAGGAGUAUGCUCAGGAACCUUGCCCAUGGCGAAUUGUGGAUGAUUGCGGUGGAGCCUUCACUAUGGGUGUUAUCGGCGGUGGAGUCUUCCAGGCCAUUAAGGGCUUCCGCAAUGCCCCUGUCGGAAUGCGGCACCGAUUGAGAGGCAGUGUCAAUGCUGUAAGGAUCAGAGCCCCUCAGAUUGGAGGUAGCUUCGCUGUGUGGGGGGGCCUAUUUUCCACCAUCGACCGCGGUCUGGUGCGGCUUUGGGGCAAGGAAGAUCCCUGGACUUCUAUCACCAGUGGAGCACUGACCGGGGCUGUGCUGGCUGCCCGCAGUGGCCCAUUGGCCAUGGUGGGCUCGGCAAUGAUGGGGGGCAUCCUGUUGGCCCUCAUUGAGGGUGUUGGCAUCCUUCUCACUCGCUAUACUGCCCAGCAGUUCUGCAAUGCGCCCCCAUUCCUGGAGGACCCUGGCCAGCUGACCUCUAAGGAGGGUACCCCAGGCCCAGGCUACCCCAGCUAUCAGCAGUACCACUGAGGAAGUGACCACCUGCCACUGCCACUGUGGGAGCUCCUCCUUGGUCCCCUCCCCGAUGAUCUACCUCGAAGGGAGGGCUGGCUCCCAGUUGGCCCAUGGGACCCUCGAGAGGGCCUCUAUCUGUUCCUUUAUCCCAGGUUGGGGGUGGGGCUCCCCAGCUGCCCUGAUGGAUGGGUCCCUUUUCUCUCAGAGCACCCCAACCCCCAUUCACAUGCUCUCACCCCAAUCCCUUUGCAUGGCACUCUGAUGAGUAUUUAAAGCCAGUUUUGAAAA